GCAGAAAUACCCAAGCGGCUGAAGGGGAUGGUCUUGAAAACCAUUAGGGGAUGAAAGUCCCGCGAGAGUUCAAAUCUCUCUUUCUGCGCCA
rnacentral:tRNA from 1 species